UGAUACCAGGGUCAAAAGGUCUAAACCCACAUGAGCUUGCUCAUAGGUGGGUGAAAGACAUUGGGACCCGCCCCGAUAUGAGCAUAAAAGUGGGAUGAUAAUCCCAUGAUAUGCGAAUAUUUGGGAGAAUAUAUAUUACAUAUUUCA
rnacentral:ncRNA from 2 species